rnacentral:rRNA from 1 species
GAUGAACGCUGGCGGCGUGCCUAAUACAUGCAAGUCGAGCGAACGGACGAGAAGCUUGCUUCUCUGAUGUUAGCGGCGGACGGGUGAGUAGCACGUGGAUAACCUACCUAUAAGACUGGGAUAACUUCGGGAAACCGUAGCUAAUACCGGAUAAUAUUUUGAACCGCAUGGUUCAAAAGUGAAAGACGGUCUUGCUGUCACUUAUAGAUGGAUCCGCGCUGCAUUAGCUAGUUGGUAAGGUAACGGCUUACCAAGGCAACGAUGCAUAGCCGACCUGAGAGGGUGAUCGGCCACACUGGAACUGAGACACGGUCCAGACUCCUACGGGAGGCAGCAGUAGGGAAUCUUCCGCAAUGGGCGAAAGCCUGACGGAGCAACGCCGCGUGAGUGAUGAAGGUCUUCGGAUCGUAAAACUCUGUUAUUCGGGAAGAACAUAUGUGUAAGUAACUGUGCACAUCUUGACGGUACCUAAUCAGAAAGCCACGGCUAACUACGUG